CGUGAAGAAGCAAACUCAAGCUCCCUCGGAGAGAAAACGUAAAAGACACACCUUGGCAACUAAGGUUGCUGCAAAACUGACUGCUCUGAAGGGAUUGGAUGCAAGACUCAGGAAGAUUUGGAGUUACCUUGACCUUGUAAUCGAAGGGAAACUCCCAUUAAACCAUGAGAUCUUUUACCAUCUUCAGAAUGGUUCAGAUCAUAAAAUACCAUACUUAAAAUCUUCAGGACGUAUUCAACUUAAUUCCUAACUUGAAUGUCAAUGAGUUGGUUAAGGCAUUUGAAGUGAAAACAAAUGACAUGAUGCUUGUUAUCUACCUUUCUUUCCUCAUCCGAAGUGUAAUUGCCCUCCACAACUUGAUCAACAACAAGGUUAGACUCAACAAGGAACAUGAAAAAGCAGAGGACUCAAAGCCCGUUGGCCGUUGCCAUACCAAUCGCGGGGAGUUAAAAAUAAAGAGGCAAAUUUUGAGCUUGGAAGGUUUUAUUAUUGAAUAUUGCUCUUGUCAUUUGCUGCCUGUAAAGAGGGUCCGAUUAGUGACGAACGGGUUAAGUUUUUUUUUUUUUUAAACGGGUUAAGUUCUGGUUCCAUUGUUCUUGU